rnacentral:rRNA from 1 species
UAGGGAAUUUUCCACAAUGGACGAAAGUCUGAUGGAGCAACGCCGCGUGCAGGAUGAAGGCUCUAGGGUCGUAAACUGCUUUUAUCUGUGAAGAUUAUGACGGUAGCAGAUGAAUAAGGAUCGGCUAACUCCGUGCCAGCAGCCGCGGUCAUACGGAGGAUCCAAGCGUUAUCCGGAAUUACUGGGCGUAAAGAGUUGCGUAGGCGGUUAAGUAAGUUGGUAGUGAAAGCGUGGGGCUCAACCUCAUAUCCAUUACCAAAACUGCUUUGACUAGAGAAUGGGAGAGGUCGCUGGAAUUUCUAGUGUAGGAGUGAAAUCCGUAGAUAUUAGAAGGAACACCGAUGGCGUAGGCAGGCGACUGGCCCAUUUCUGACGCUCAGGCACGAAAGCGUGGGGAGCGACCG